rnacentral:rRNA from 1 species
GGAAUUUUGGACAAUGGGCGAAAGCCUGAUCCAGCAAUGCCGCGUGAGUGAAGAAGGCCUUCGGGUUGUAAAGCUCUUUUGUCAGGGAAGAAACGGUGAGGGCUAAUAUCCCUUGCUAAUGACGGUACCUGAAGAAUAAGCACCGGCUAACUACGUGCCAGCAGCCGCGGUAAUACGUAGGGUGCAAGCGUUAAUCGGAAUUACUGGGCGUAAAGCGUGCGCAGGCGGUUUUGUAAGUCUGAUGUGAAAUCCCCGGGCUCAACCUGGGAAUUGCAUUGGAGACUGCAAGGCUAGAAUCUGGCAGAGGGGGGUAGAAUUCCACGUGUAGCAGUGAAAUGCGUAGAUAUGUGGAGGAACACCGAUGGCGAAGGCAGCCCCCUGGGUCAAGAUUGACGCUCAUGCACGAAAGCGUGGGGAGCAAACAGGAUUAGAUACCCGUG